UGUGGCUUCCGGUGUUAUUGAUGACGGCAGUUGUAACCAGGUUUUGCCAGAAGCACGUGGCCAAUUGCACACAAGUUGACUACUCACCAAAAGCAGACUCAUCAGCCCGCAGGAAAUAUCAGGGAGAAUAUGUCAGAGGUCCUUGGUAGUGCAGGCCACUGCUGGAUUACUUGGUCCUGGCAAAAAAAAAGGUUUUGCAUGUACAGCAGUUACCUGGUUUUGCUACCUGCAGCUGUUAAUACAUCUACAUUUGGGAGAGGAAAACAACAACAGAGACGCAAACUGACCAUCUGCUCAUUAUUCCAAACUGCAAUUCAAUUUGCAGUUAGUACUUUAUCUGAUUGUCAUUUUAAAUGAUGUGUUUUAAUAAUUUACUUUCUCUGAUGUUUUUAUUCUUAUAGCAGUUGAAAAAAAAGCAAUAACUUUUUCAUCACCCUGAAGACAAAAUGAAAAAAAAAAGACAGUAGAGGGCUUUAAAGCUAUUCUUCACUGAACAUAUUGGAUUUUCUUUUUCUAACCAAACAUACCACAUGAUUCAUAUAAUUAUUAUAUUACUCCACAGGCUUCAAUCAUCCAUGAAUGAUGUACUGAACAUGGAUAAUGUACAUCUGGGUAAAUGC